AGUAUUUAUGCAUUGGAAAGUAGCACUUGUGUCACUCGUUGUUGUGUUUAAGAAACAUGGAUCGUGUUUGUGCCUUUGUUCAGUGCAACAACACAAAAGUGUCGUUUUCGUUUCCCCGUGACGCAACCAGAGCUAAAGUUUGGCUGCAUGCUGCUGGUUUGCGGUGUCCUACAAAAACACACGGAAAAUAUGUUUGGAAGGAACAUUUUUUGUCUGACAGUUUUGUGAAUUGGGGACUAGUGCAAACCCGUUUCGUGGAUGGUCUUUUUUUUGAAGAAAGACGCCGUGCCAGUUUCUGUCCUCUCUACUGUCUACAUAAAUGAGCUUCAGGAACUGUGGUCUCCAGAUUGUGAGUGAUGCUGCGGAGUGGUGGGAAAACAUGGAGCGGAUUCGCAGAGUCAGCGGAUCUUUAGUCGAGGGGUGACAGAACGCUCUGAGCUCAGAUCUUCCCAGCUCCAAUUUAAAAACAUGGGGGAAUGAGACUUCACGCUCAAAUACCCACGUGGCCAAUGCAACCGGGAAGCAUCUUCGGAUUUUCUAUGGAGUGGAUAAAAUGAGGCUGGAAGAAAUGGUGAUAAAUGUGGGAGUAGGGAUUGGAGGUACAGCAUCAAAAACUGAACAAUCAGCAUCAGGGAACAUUUCCACCGAUGUGAAGAUGGUUUUUAAACCAGACUCCCGGGUCCGUUACAUUCACUUGCCGCAGAACGAGACAUGUAACUUUGCCGGGGAAGGCACCAUCUAUGCCUCUGUCCUUUUGGAAGAUGAAAACGACGAAAAAAAAUCUGCAGUGGUGUCAUCUGCCAAAAUUUCCCAUAUCCCCAGCGACCGGGUCUUUUAUCGUGACUGCCAAUCAUACCAUCAAAUUGCAGAAGUAUGGUGCAAGCCUUUGGGUUGAUGAAGACGGCAAUAACCAUCGUCCUUAACUUUCCUCUUCAUCCAUCAUGAGGCCACCUUGGAAGUGUGCUGAGGCCCCAUAGUGGGUAGUAGUGCACUGGUUGAGAACCACUGGUUUAGAUAACAAAAUCUUUGUUUUCAACAACAAUGUAAAAAAAAAAUCUUAGUAAUAAUGUUAACAUACCUCUGGUAUUAAUUAACAGAUUUUAUUUUAAAUAUGUGCUCUGAAAUAUAAAAAGCAAUGGGGAUCUUUAAAAUGUUAGCUGUGAACACUUUAUUUCAUCAUUGUUAGAAAUCUAUAGUGAAUAUUUCUUCUAAUGGAAAAAUUGUUCGCAAAACUCUCACAAAAAUUAAAUCUAUGAAACUAACUUAAAGCUACCACAUUUUGCAAAGAUUUAUAUUUCAAUAAAAGCAAUACAAAAUUCAAAGCUCUUAAUAAUCAGGUUAUUGGUUAAUGGAAUGAUGAGCUGUAAAAUAACAGAGCUUAAUCAUAUGGAAACAGAAAUCUCACCACAAUGUGUAUCAUCAAUAAAAACAUUAAUUUCAUUAUAUUGCAUUACAAAUUUGCAUUGUGAUAAAUGCAGAAGAGAUUAUUUAAAAACAUGCAUUUAACAUUUUAUUGAGCUAAUACCGUUAAAGAAAUAAUCAUGACUGUUAGAAAAAGAACACUCCCUUCCACAGAUGUUUCCUCUUAUUGUUUGAGUGUGAGUGAUCUCAUUUCUCUCUUACUCCUGCCCUCCCUUUCUUUUCCCAUGUUUUUCUCUCUCCUCCCAUCUGUGUUCUCUUUCUCUAGUCCUAUAUCUCUUUACCUCAAUGUAUACAUGCAUGCGCAGACGAUACAUAGAGUUCAAUCGGUGAAGAAUGGGUGGGGGACCUCUGUGGGCCCAGGUUACUGGGUUUAGUUUGUCCUUUACUGAAAGUUGAAGAGUCCCACUGCCAAUAUAUAUUCCUUAUAUGUCCAGUAUUUGCUGAUCAUAUGCUUACCUCAGCUUGUUGUUUUGGCUUAUACUCAACACAUAUGUAAUCUGUAUCCUAUUGGUUGAAAGGGCUGUACCACCAUUAUUGUAUCUUUAUAUACUCAGUGUAAGACAAUAAAGAUUUGAAGUUAAGGUAUACUCAGA